GAUGAACGCUAGCUACAGGCUUAACACAUGCAAGUCGAGGGGAAACGCCAUCGGAAGCUUGCUUUUGAUGGGCGUCGACCGGCGCACGGGUGAGUAACGCGUAUCCAACCUGCCCACCACUUGGGUAUAACCUUGCGAAAGUAAUACUAAUACCCAAUUAUAACCCCCGGAGACAUCUGUAUGGGAUUAAAGUUUUAUCAGUUAUGGAUGGGUAUGCGUCUGAUUAGCUUGUUGGCGAGGUAACGGCCCACCAAGGCAACGAUCCGUAGGGGAUCUGAGAGGGGGAGCAGCCACACUAGAUCGGAACCGAGAUCCAGACUAAAACGGUAGGCGAGGGAGGAGUGAGGUACACAGUGGACGGGGGGCGGGCCUGACAAAGCCAAGUAGCGUGCAGGAAGCCGGCGAUAUGGGUAGUAAAUUGCUUUUAUAAGGGAAUAAAGUAGGUAACUUGUGACUUCUUGACGGUACCUAAUGAAUAAGGCACGGCUAACUCCGUG
rnacentral:rRNA from 1 species